rnacentral:lncRNA from 1 species
AAAAAAAAUUAAAAAAAGAAAAAAAGAAAAAAAGAUAGAUAGAUAGAAAGUGGAUGUACCUGUAAUACGAAACUGGCUGAAUUGAAGAACACAAAGAUUUGUGCUUUGCUGCUCAAAUUUGUAGAGUGAGAGAGAGUACCCAGAACCAAAAUCAUAUUAGGGUUGAGAAUUUGGAAUUGAUUAGAAUUAGGGAUCCAUUAAUACAACUAUGCCUCAGCCCAAUUCUAUUUUUUUUCAUUUGGCCUAAAAUAGAAAAAAAACCAAAAACUUCCAAGUUAAAAAAUUAGAGAAAUAAAUCUGAAAUUUUAGAGAGACAAAGUGAGGAGAGAGAAAUAGGCGGAGGACUUUGGGCAAGGAGUCCAUUGACGGCUUCGUUGGGGAGGACCUGAGCGUAGUUUUUCACAAUCUCCCUUAAGCUUUGCACCAAAAAUUAAAAGCAACAUAUCAUGAUUGAAGAACACAGCAGCUGAAGAGCACUACCACAGUUCCAUCAAGUAACACGACCAGUACAGCAAAGCAAGAGGGAAAUAUGGAGCCCUCGCCUCAGGCCCAUGUGAAGAAGCAAAGCUGGAGAACACCGCUGCGGUUCGGGGUGGAGCUGGACGGGUUCAACUGCUCUGAGACUCUCGUGUCUCGUUAACUAUAGCAAGUUGAGGUAGGUGGAAGAAGGAUAUGAAUGGCGACGGAGGCGAGAGAAGGG